rnacentral:rRNA from 1 species
AGAUUAAGUUAUUAAGAGCGUACGGUGGAUGCCUUGGCACCAGGAGCCGAUGAAGGACGUAGUAGGCUGCGAUAAGCCUCGGGGAGCUGUCAAACGAGCUGAGAUCCGAGGAUUUCCGAAUGGGGAAACCCGGCACGAGUGAUGUCGUGUCACCCGCACCUGAAUAUAUAGGGUGUGUGGAGGGAACGUGGGGAAGUGAAACAUCUUGAAAGCGAGUCUGAAUAGGGCGUUGAGUAUUUGGUCGUAGACCCGAAACCAGGUGAUCUACCCAUGACCAGGUUGAAGUUCAGGUAACACUGAAUGGAGGACCGAACCGACUUACGUUGAAAAGUGAGCGGAUGAGUUGUGGGUAGCGGAGAAAUUCCAAUCGAACCUGGAGAUAGCUGGUUCUCUCCGAAAUAGCUUUAGGGCUAGCCUCAAGUGAUGAUUAUUGGAGGUAGAGCACUGUUUGGACGAGGGGCCCUUAUCGGGUUACCGAAUUCAGACAAACUCCGAAUGCCAAUCAAUUUAACUUGGGAGUCAGAACGCGGGUGAUAAGGUCCGUGUUCGAAAGGGAAACAGCCCAGACCACCAGCUAAGGUCCCAAAAUAUAUGUUAAGUGGAAAAGGAUGUGGCGUUGCCCAGACAACUAGGAUGUUGGCUUAGAAGCAGCCAUCAUUUAAAGAGUGCGUAAUAGCUCACUAGUCGAGUGACACUGCGCCGAAAAUGUACCGGGGCUAAACAUAUUACCGAAGCUGUGGAUUGUCCGUAAGGACAAUGGUAGGAGAGCGUUCUAAGGGCGUUGAAGCAUGAUCGCAAGGACAUGUGGAGCGCUUAGAAGUGAGAAUGCCGGUGUGAGUAGCGAAAGACGGGUGAGAAUCCCGUCCACCGAUUGACUAAGGUUUCCAGAGGAAGGCUCGUCCGCUCUGGGUUAGUCGGGUCCUAAGCUGAGGCCGAUAGGCGUAGGCGAUGGAUAACAGGUUGAUAUUCCUGUACCACCAUUAUUCGUUUUAAGCGAUGGGGGGACGCAGUAGGAUAGGCGAAGCGUACGAUUGGAUUGUACGUCCAAGCAGUGAGAUUGAGUGUUAGGCAAAUCCGGCACUCUUAAGAUUGAGCUGUGAUGGGGAGAGGAAAUUGUUUCCUCGAGUCGUUGAUUUCACACUGCCAAGAAAAGCCUCUAGCUAGAAUUGUGGUGCCCGUACCGCAAACCGACACAGGUAGUCAAGAUGAGAAUUCUAAGGUGAGCGAGCGAACUCUCGUUAAGGAACUCGGCAAAAUGACCCCGUAACUUCGGGAGAAGGGGUGCUCUUUAGGGUUAACGCCCAGGAGAGCCGCAGUGAAUAGGCCCAAGCGACUGUUUAUCAAAAACACAGGUCUCUGCUAAACCGUAAGGUGAUGUAUAGGGGCUGACGCCUGCCCGGUGCUGGAAGGUUAAGAGGAGUGGUUAGCUUCUGCGAAGCUACGAAUCGAAGCCCCAGUAAACGGCGGCCGUAACUAUAACGGUCCUAAGGUAGCGAAAUUCCUUGUCGGGUAAGUUCCGACCCGCACGAAAGGCGUAACGAUUUGGGCACUGUCUCAACGAGAGACUCGGUGAAAUCAUAGUACCUGUGAAGAUGCAGGUUACCCGCGACAGGACGGAAAGACCCCGUGGAGCUUUACUGUAGUCUGAUAUUGAAAUUCGGCACAGCUUGUACAGGAUAGGUAGGAGCCUGAGAUACGUGAGCGCUAGCUUACGUGGAGGCGUUGGUGGGAUACUACCCUCGCUGUGUUGGAUUUCUAACCCGCACCAUUUAUCAUGGUGGGAGACAGUGCCUGGUGGGUAGUUUAACUGGGGCGGUUGCCUCCCAAAAUGUAACGGAGGCGCCCAAAGGUUCCCUCAGCCUGGUUGGCAAUCAGGUGUCGAGUGCAAGUGCACAAGGGAGCGAAGCUACGAAUCGAAGCCCCAGUAAACGGCGGCCGUAACUAUAACGGUCCUAAGGUAGCGAAAUUCCUUGUCGGGUAAGUUCCGACCCGCACGAAAGGCGUAACGAUUUGGGCACUGUCUCAACGAGAGACUCGGUGAAAUCAUAGUACCUGUGAAGAUGCAGGUUACCCGCGACAGGACGGAAAGACCCCGUGGAGCUUUACUGUAGUCUGAUAUUGAAAUUCGGCACAGCUUGUACAGGAUAGGUAGGAGCCUGAGAUACGUGAGCGCUAGCUUACGUGGAGGCGUUGGUGGGAUACUACCCUCGCUGUGUUGGAUUUCUAACCCGCACCAUUUAUCAUGGUGGGAGACAGUGUCAGAUGGGCAGUUUGACUGGGGCGGUCGCCUCCUAAAGAGUAACGGAGGCGCUCAAAGGUUUCCUCAGAAUGGUUGGAAAUCAUUCAUAGAGUGUAAAGGCAUAAGGAAGCUUGACUGCGAGACUUACAAGUCGAGCAGGGUCGAAAGACGGACUUAGUGAUCCGGUGGUUCCGCAUGGAAGGGCCAUCGCUCAACGGAUAAAAGCUACCCCGGGGAUAACAGGCUUAUCUCCCCCAAGAGUUCACAUCGACGGGGAGGUUUGGCACCUCGAUGUCGGCUCAUCGCAUCCUGGGGCUGUAGUCGGUCCCAAGGGUUGGGCUGUUCGCCCAUUAAAGCGGUACGCGAGCUGGGUUCAGAACGUCGUGAGACAGUUCGGUCCCUAUCCGUCGUGGGCGUAGGAAAUUUGAGAGGAGCUGUCCUUAGUACGAGAGGACCGGGAUGGACAUACCUCUGGUGUACCAGUUGUCGUGCCAACGGCAUCGCUGGGUAGCUAUGUAUGGACGGGAUAAGUGCUGAAAGCAUCUAAGCAUGAAGCCCCCCUCAAGAUGAGAUUUCCCAACUUCGGUUAUAAGAUCCCUCAAAGAUGAUGAGGUUAAUAGGUUCGAGGUGGAAGCAUAGCGAUAUGUGCAGCUGACGAAUACUAAUCGAUCGAAGACUUAAUCAAAUU